rnacentral:rRNA from 1 species
CCUACGGGUGGCAGCAGUGGGGGAUAUUGCACAAUGGGGGGAACCCUGAUGCAGCGACGCCGCGUGGGUGAAGGAGGGUUUCGGCGUGUAAAGCUCUAUCGGCAGGGAAGAAGAUGACGGUACCUGACUAAGAAGCCUCGGCUAACUACGUGCCAGCAGCCGCGGUAAUACGUAGGGGGCAAGCGUUAUCCGGAUUUACUGGGUGUAAAGGGGGCGUAGACGGCAAUGCAAGGUAGGAGUGAAAGCCCGGGGCUCAACCCCGGGACUGCUUUUGAAACUGGAUGGCUUGAGUGCAGGAGGGGCAAGCGGAAUUCCUAGUGUAGCGGUGAAAUGCGUAGAUAUUAGGAGGAACACCAGUGGCGAAGGCGGCCUGCUGGACUGUAACUGACGUUGAGGCCCGAAGGCGUGGGGAGCAAACAGGAUUAGAUACCCCGGUAGUC